rnacentral:lncRNA from 1 species
CUGCGGCCGUUCCCGCGGCCUCCUCCUCCUCCCCGUUCCCUUCACCCCCACCCCGCACCCCUUUCCCCAUCCCGGCUCCGUCACCCUCCCGUCCCCCACACUCAGGACAAGAAUGCCCUGCCCGGAACAACCCAGCAGCGCCUAGAUGGCUUUGGUCACGGUCCAGCGGUCACCUACCCCCAGCACCACCUCCAGCCCCUGCGCCUCGAUGGGGACUUGCUUGGGGUCUUGCUGCCCAGGCUGGUCUUGAACUCGUGGCGUCAAGGGAUCCUCCUGUCUCAGCCUCCUAAAGAAUUGGGAUUAUAGUCAUGAGCCACUGUGACCGGCUACAAUUUUCAAGUCUACAAUAUAUUAUUAUUGACUGUAGAAACCAUAUUGUACAAUAGCUCUUCAUAACUUACUCCUCCUGUCUAAUGGAAACUUUGUACCCUUUGACCAUCAUCUCCUCCCCAUUCUCCCACCAAUCCCCAAUCUGGUGUGAAUUUUCUGAAUUGAUACCUAUAUUGAUCCAGGGUUAAAUAAAC